rnacentral:rRNA from 1 species
GACGAACGCUGGCGGCGUGCUUAACACAUGCAAGUCGAACGGAAAGGCCUCUUUCGGGGGGUACUCGAGUGGCGAACGGGUGAGUAACACGUGAGUAACCUGCCCUUGACUUUGGGAUAACUUCAGGAAACUGGGGCUAAUACCGGAUAGGAGCUCCUUCUGCAUGGUGGGGUUGGGAAAGUUUCGGCGGUUGGGGAUGGACUCGCGGCUUAUCAGCUUGUUGGUGGGGUAGUGGCUUACCAAGGCUUUGACGGGUAGCCGGCCUGAGAGGGUGACCGGCCACAUUGGGACUGAGAUACGGCCCAGACUCCUACGGGAGGCAGCAGUGGGGAAUAUUGCACAAUGGGUGGAAGCCUGAUGCAGCAACGCCGUGUGCGGGAUGACGGCCUUCGGGUUGUAAACCGCUUUCGCUCAUGACGAAGCUUUGUGUGACGGUAGUGGGUAAAGAAGCACCGGCUAACUACGUG